rnacentral:rRNA from 1 species
AUGAACAUCAUAACAAAUUCAGAAGGCGAAGUUGUCAACACCUACAAUCCAAGCCAGGUUCUCUUCUUUGGGAACCUGGAAUUCAUUGUCGAUUCAUACCGAGAGCUUCACCUCUGUAGCCCUGCACAUUGCCAAACACAUGAGCUGGAGCUGAUUUUCAUCAACCCACCCACCUCCCAUUUCGUCGCCAACGUGGAGUCGCUUCACGACGUCCUCGGAGAGCAUGAUGUGGAGGAAGAGGAGAGCAAUGAAAGCUGCCCAGAGGCCAUCCCGGUUCGUCCAUGGCCUUGGCAGACAACUGCUUCUUACAUGGUUGACAACCACGUCAGUGGCAGGGACAACACCAAUGCCGAGGACUUCGACGACGAUGAUGCCCUAGGUGAGGAUGACCCAGCUCUACUCACAACUCCCGUGAAGGGUACCGACGAGCCUUCCAAGAAAUUCGAUUCAAGAGAACUCAUCUACGCGGAAGGUCUUUUAAGUGCAAGUUGUACCCGCACAGAAAUUUUGCGCCCUCAACUACACCAGGAUGCCUCCUGCAUUAGCAUCACAACUUCUCUCACCACGGACAGCUCGCUAGUCUUCUUGCAUCAGCCACGCCUAAUUGGCCUCACAUCCCUCACGGUCGGGUAA